UUAGUGAUAUUAUCUAAAAAAAAAAUCUGAAAUUUAUUACAGACUUAGGAUCUAGUUAGGAGGAGUCUGAACAUGACUUGGUGGCUAAAACCAUUAAGGCUUGAUUCAUAAAGAUUCCAAUAAAAGAAUUCAAACGGGACUUCGAGGCGGCAAUCUUCAAGGCUCGCUUCACAAAGAAUUCUUGGAUAUAGGUCAAACAUAAGUGAACAGGGCUUGGUGGCAACCACCAUUAAGUCUUGAUU
rnacentral:lncRNA from 1 species